UACGUAGGAUGCAAGCGUUGUCCGGAAUUACUGGGCGUAAAGAGCGCGCAGGCGGCACUUUAAGUAGGGCGUGAAAUCUCUCGGCUUAACUGAGAGGGGUCGUUCUAAACUGGAGAGCUAACGAGGGCAGGAGAGGAAAGUGGAAUUCCCGGUGUAGUGGUGAAAUGCGUAGAUAUCGGGAGGAACACCUGUGGCGAAGGCGACUUUCUGGCCUGUUCCUGACGCUGAGGCGCGAAGGCUAGGGGAGCGAACGGGAUUAGAUACCCCGGUAGUCCUAGCAGUAAACGAUGGAUACUAGGUGUUGGUGGUAUUGACCCCACCAGUGCCGGAGCUAACGCAUUAAGUAUCCCGCCUGGGGAGUACGGCCGCAAGGCUAAA
rnacentral:rRNA from 1 species